rnacentral:lncRNA from 1 species
GAACAGCAUGGGAAAGAUGAUCUGUCUGCCCUGUGGAGUCUGUGCAAACACUGUUUCUUCUUUAUAAUGGUUCUAGUAAAGGACUUUUCAUCCUCCCGCCUAUGCCGCUCCCAGGAUCCUCUACUAGAAGGCAGUCAGGAUCAGCUCUCAGAACAAGCUUCUAGAAAGACCUACAGCUCCAUCAAGAACCUACAGGCUGCAUCAUCCUGAGAGAAACAAGGAGAUGAAAACCAAGCUGCAAGAUCCAGCAGUGAAAAUAUUAAAAUAAAAAACGAC